AAGCAUGGGACAUCAGAUGCCAUGAACUCAGCAGCACCAUCCCCAUGCUACAGAGGUGCAGGAUAGGGGGUGUGUGCCCCUCACAGCACUAAUCAAACACUUUGGUGUUCUCUCUGUGCCUGAAGUUGUGAAGAAGAUGUUCUCACUGGAGUCAGGAUGGCCAAAAGCUGGAGGCUCCCUGGCUCAAAGACCCCAGCGAUUUCUCGAGUCUCUGCACCUGCGCCAAGCAUCAGGAACUCCCGUGGGUCACACCCAGCAACCAGCAC